AAACAUGGCCUUUUGUCUUGGAAUAUAAGGUCUGACCUGCUCACUGAGGUAAAACUUAAAGAGCUGCAGUAUACCUGACUGUACUAAGGUAGCGUGGUAAUUUGUCUAUUAAUUGUAGACUUGUAUGAAUGGUUUGACAAGGAGGAAACUGUCUCUUUUGAAAAUUGUUGAAUUUCAUUUUUUAGUGAGGAAGCUAGAAUGAUUCCAAGGGACGAAAAGACCCUAUAGAUUUUUAGUAAUUGGUUUUUCGUUAUUAGUUAUGUUUAUAAUUUAGUUGAGUAUUGAGUCUGUUAUUUUUGCUGGGGUGGCAGUUGAAGAUAAGAAUCUUCAGUUAUUUUAAAGUCAUUUAUGGGUGAAUUGAUCCUUUAUUAUGGAUAUAGAGAUGAAAAUACCUUAGGGAUAACAGCGUUAUUCUUUUUGAGAGUUCAUAUCGACGAAAGAGAUUGCGACCUC
rnacentral:rRNA from 1 species